rnacentral:tRNA from 1 species
GCAUCCAUGGCUGAAUGGAGAAAGCGAUCCGCCUAAGAAAGGGGAAUUUGCAGGUUCGAAUCCUGUUGGAUGCU